AAUCAGUGUGUGUGUUAGUGGAAGCGUCUGGAAAGGCGCGCGAUACAGGGUGACAGCCCCGUACACAAAAAUGCACAUACUGUGAGCUCGAUGAGUAGGGCGGGACACGUGGUAUCCUGUCUGAAUAUGGGGGGACCAUCCUCCAAGGCUAAAUACUCCUGACUGACCGAUAGUGAACCAGUACCGUGAGGGAAAGGCGAAAAGAACCCCGGCGAGGGGAGUGAAAAAGAACCUGAAACCGUGUACGUACAAGCAGUGGGAGCACGCUUAGGCGUGUGACUGCGUACCUUUUGUAUAAUGGGUCAGCGACUUAUAUUCUGUAGCAAGGUUAACCGAAUAGGGGAGCCGAAGGGAAACCGAGUCUUAACUGGGCGUUAAGUUGCAGGGUAUAGACCCGAAACCCGGUGAUCUAGCCAUGGGCAGGUUGAAGGUUGGGUAACACUAACUGGAGGACCGAACCGACUAAUGUUGAAAAAUUAGCGGAUGACUUGUGGCUGGGGGUGAAAGGCCAAUCAAACCGGGAGAUAGCUGGUUCUCCCCGAAAGCUAUUUAGGUAGCGCCUCGUGAAUUCAUCUCCGGGGGUAGAGCACUGUUUCGGCAAGGGGGUCAUCCCGACUUACCAACCCGAUGCAAACUGCGAAUACCGGAGAAUGUUAUCACGGGAGACACACGGCGGGUGCUAACGUCCGUCGUGAAGAGGGAAACAACCCAGACCGCCAGCUAAGGUCCCAAAGUCAUGGUUAAGUGGGAAACGAUGUGGGAAGGCCCAGACAGCCAGGAUGUUGGCUUAGAAGCAGCCAUCAUUUAAAGAAAGCGUAAUAGCUCACUGGUCGAGUCGGCCUGCGCGGAAGAUGUAACGGGGCUAAACCAUGCACCGAAGCUGCGGCAGCGACGCUGAUGCGUUGUUGGGUAGGGGAGCGUUCUGUAAGCCUGUGAAGGUGUGCUGUGAGGCAUGCUGGAGGUAUCAGAAGUGCGAAUGCUGACAUAAGUAACGAUAAAGCGGGUGAAAAGCCCGCUCGCCGGAAGACCAAGGGUUCCUGUCCAACGUUAAUCGGGGCAGGGUGAGUCGACCCCUAAGGCGAGGCCGAAAGGCGUAGUCGAUGGGAAACAGGUUAAUAUUCCUGUACUUGGUGUUACUGCGAAGGGGGGACGGAGAAGGCUAUGUUGGCCGGGCGACGGUUGUCCCGGUUUAAGCGUGUAGGCUGGUUUUCCAGGCAAAUCCGGAAAAUCAAGGCUGAGGCGUGAUGACGAGGCACUACGGUGCUGAAGCAACAAAUGCCCUGCUUCCAGGAAAAGCCUCUAAGCAUCAGGUAACAUCAAAUCGUACCCCAAACCGACACAGGUGGUCAGGUAGAGAAUACCAAGGCGCUUGAGAGAACUCGGGUGAAGGAACUAGGCAAAAUGGUGCCGUAACUUCGGGAGAAGG
rnacentral:rRNA from 1 species